rnacentral:lncRNA from 1 species
UUUUUUUUUCCUUUUUAUUUUAAUUUAAUUUCUCAAAUACUAUUUUUAUAUUCUCCUCCCGAUUUCUAUACACUGAUCUCAAUCUUUCAUUUCUGUUGAUGUUAGGAUUUUUACCCCGAUUUUCUUACCAAAUUUAAGUUUUACUUUUUCUUGUAAGGAAAAUAAAAGUAACCAUAAAUACUUUUACUUUUACUGAAAGGAAAAUAUAAAACUUUUCCAUAGUUGGCAAACCCCUUUCUUGGAGGAAAGGUUUUGGACAUCUAUAAAUAGAAGACCCUCUUCUCAUACCAUAAUACAUCAACAUCCACAAUGUAGGCAUCAAAGAGUCUUUGUUUAGGGGGAGAUUUCUCCCAAUAAGUUUUAGGAUUUUUAAUAUUAUUUUUAAUAUUAGGUUUUAUAUGUAGGCCAAUUGGCCAAAUCAUAUGAAUUAUGUUUUUAGUAUUAUUUUUUGUUGUCAUUUUAUUUAUCGUCUCAUAGUUUGCAACUAAUAGCUUCCUCAUAACACCCUCUCGAUUUCGAACCCAAUAAGUGGUAUCAGAGCUUACGGUUCAAUGGUCCAAUAUUGUGGUGAGAUGAGAUUAAACAGGUUCAAAGCGGUUUCAAAAUCAAGCUACAACCAAUUUGAUGAUAAUGAAGAUAUAUGCCUACAAGUUACAUAUGGAGAAAAAUUUCAAACAAAUGUUCAACAAUCCUGCUGCUAAUCCAUCUUUAAAACCAAAAUCAAUUUUCAACCCAUGUUUAUGGGCUUCAAUUUUCAAUUCAUACUUGUUUUUAAUGCUUGGGCUCCUUUCAACUCGUGUAUUUAUUUUUAACGCAUGAGCUCCACUCUUAACCUGUGUUCACUUUCAAUGCACAAGACUCUACUUUUAGUCUUAUCAACCCGUGCUUUUAUUUUUAAUGCAUAGGGCUCCAACUUUUAACCCAUAUCAAAUUUUAAUAAUGGUAAGCAGCAGUGGUAUACGAAGAUCGUUGAUAUAUGAAGACCGUGUGAAGAAGAAGGAUCAAGAAUAUUUUGCCAGAAAAUCAAGUCAAAAAGGGGAGAUUUAUUAGGAUUUUUGCUUCGAUUUUCUUACCAAAUUUAAAUUUUACUUUUUCUUGUAAGGAAAAUAAAAGUAACCAUAAAUACUUUUACUUUUACUGAAAGAAAAAUAUAAAACUUUUUCAUAUUUGGCAAACCUCUUUCUUGGAGGAAAGGUUUUGGACAUCUAUAAAUAGACGACCCUUUUCUCAUACCAUAAUAUAUCAGCAUCCACAAUGUAGUCAUCAAAGAGUCUUUGUUUAGGGGAAGAUUUCUCCCAAUAAGUUUUAGGAUUUUUAAUAUUAGAUUUUAUAUGUAGGCCAAUUGGCCAAAUCAUAUAAUAAAAUUAUGUUUUUAGUAUUAUUUUUCGUUGUCAUCUUAUUUAUCAUCUCAUAGUUUGUAACUAAUAGCUUCCACAUGACGCCCUCUCAAUUUCGAACCCAACAGUUUACCCCCCCUCCUCCUCUCUCUUAUUCACAAUUCUAAAUUUGUAACUCUGAUAAAAAUGAACUAAUGAGAAAAAAAAACCUUUUCGUUUAAAUCUUAAGUAAUGAAAGCAUUUAUCCAUAACAAGGAACUUAAUAAGUGACAAAUAUUUUUUGUGUAAAAUUUGAUGUAUUAAUAUAUCACUUUGAAAAUUAAAUCAAACUUAUUUUAUACAUCCCUAAAUUUGACAUAGAAAAAGAUAAUGAGUAAAAAUUUAUCUUAUUCAUAUAGAUUAUAGAAUGUGUUGUUGAUUGCUUCAAAUUACUUCAAUAAAUUCAAUGAUCUUGAAGAAAUGAUGAUUAAGGAAGGUUAAAGAAGAUGACGUUAAAAGACGUAACACCUUUUUAUAUUUGGUAGGAUGGGUCAUAUCGUUAGAAUAAACUCUGAUAGGAUAAAUUCAAAGUCCAAGUUAAAUUAUUACUAAUUUCUUUAUUUGUAAUCAAAUAUUAAAAGGAAUAUAAUUGAUUUUUUUUUUUAAUUUUAGACUUUAAAAUUAUCUAACAGUGUAAAAUAAGUAUACAUUAUUAGUGCAUAUUAGUUAAUCUCACGAGAAAAUAAACCUCUUCAAUAAUUAAUUUGAUUUAGUACACUUAAUAGAGCAAUUCUUUUAUUAUAAAGUGUCACGGUCUCCAUAACUAGAGCCGUCAAUAUGGGUCAAACCUGUUGGGCUGGCUCGGCCUAAUCGGUAAUUUGAUAGGAUUGAACUAAGAUUUUUUUAGCUUAUUUAAAAACAGGGGUUUUUUUUAGCUCGGCUCGAGUAAGCCCGUUGACCUGUAUGGUUUGAAAAAAAUAGAUUGGAUCGGCCUGUAAAUCAAAUAGAUUGGGCCCCUCUGAUCUUGUCUGAGAUUUAUAAAAAGACACCUAAACUUUAACUUCGACCUAUUACCCCACGAUUCUUCUUUAUUUCAUUGCAAACACAUCAUUUUGACCCCCUGCGUGUACACACGCUCCACAGGCGCGUGAAAAGGCUCAAAUUUGACUUUUUUAACCAAUUACAAGCUGCCACAUGUAAAAUAAUUUAAUAUAUAAUUUAUAUUCUUUUUUUUAAAAUUAAUAUUUAUUUAUUUUUAAAAAUUAUUUCAUAACCCCCACCCCCGCAACCCCCCAUCCACCAUUGUCUUCUUCCCCAACUUCUUUUUCAUCACCAUCACUCAACAACAUCAAUUACAACACACAACAACAACAUCAAUUAUGCCCACAACAACAACAUCAUCAUCAUCAUCAUCAUCACCAUAACCCCACCCUUUCUUCUUCAACAUAAUGUCAUCAUUAAAGCUCCUCCAUUGAAGUUUUUUUUUUUAAAUCAUAUCAUUAAAGCUCCAUUUUGCAAUUAAAACAUAUCAGUUAACUACCCACCAUUCUUAUUCAACACAAUAUCUUCUUCAACUCCAUUAAAGCUCUUUCAUUGAAGUUUUUUUUUAAAGCUCCAUUAAAGCUCCUCCAUUAAAGCUUUAUUAAAGUUCAUUUAACUAUCUUUAAAACUCAAUUCAAUCAUUUUACUAUCCUUAAAACUCAAUUCAAUCAUAAAACUAACUUUUGAAUUGAUUUGAACAAAAAAAAUUGGACGGGGAGAGUGCUGGAUGCAAGGCGGCGAGAGGGAGGGGGAGGUGCUGGACGCGGGGGAGGGGUAAACGUAUUUGACACGUGGUAACACCUGAUUGGCGCGUGUAUUUCACUCUCCUUGUUGAGACUGAGAUUUAGCAAAAAAUGGUGUGUUUGCAACGAAAUAAAAAAGAAUCGUGGGAUAAUAGGUCGAAAUUAAACUUUAGGUGUCUUUUUGCAAAACUUGGACAAGAUCAAGGGGUAAUUAUGUAUUUACUCUAUUAAAAACCAUAACAACCAUGAAUUCAAAUUCUUCCCGAUUCCUCCCACAAAUUAAAACUUUUUUUUCUUUAAAAACUUUGAUUUUAAAUUCUAUAAACUAUAUAUUUUGUCUAUAGGAUUUAGAUACUUAUAUUUAUAUUAUAUUUACAAACACUUCUUCUUGUGUACGAUUUGAUUCUUUAAGAAAAAUUGACAUAAACAGUCACUUUAAAAAAUAAUACUCCUUCCGUUUUAUUUUAUGAGUUGCCAUUUGAUCGGACGCGAAAUUUAAAAAAUAAAUAAUAAUUUUAUAAAGUUUACAAAAUAGCCCCUCUUAAAGUCACAUUUAUCUUUUAGUUGUUUUUCUUAUUAAGUGGGACUCAAUAAUGAUAAAAUGAGAAUGAUGUCAUUAAAUAGUUGUCAAAUAAGAAAAUAUGACAUUCUUAUUGAGCCGGAUCAAAAAGAAAAUGACGACACAUAAAAUAAAUCGGAGGAAAACAUUGUUAGGAUAUACUAUUAAUCAAGUGGUUUACGUUAUAGUAUUAUAUUUCAUACCAUGUAAAGAUAAUUUAUUAUAUUAAUAAAAUAUUUAUUUGGAUAGAUCAUUGUGUUAACAUGUGUGUCCUCUACUUAUAGAGUGGACAAAAUUUUAUUUAGGAGUAUUUUAACUCAUGCACGAAAGAUUAAAAUUAUUGAUUCUUAUAAGUUAUAAAUUAAUAUUCACGAUCAAAGAUGAGGUAGAACAAACAUCUUUAUGAUUAUAGCACAAGAUUAAAUAUAAUUUGAUCUUAAUUAUGAAAAUGGUAAUAUUCUAACUUCUUGUGCUAGUACAUUUCGUAUGUAUUGAACGGACCAAUUAGAGAUGUUCACUUUAUGUUCUGAAUAUUAAUAAACGACUUCUUUAGUCCAUUACAUGUACUUAUACUCUAAUAUUGAUUUAAUUAUUAUGAUAUACGUUAAGUUUGAUUUAUUAUUUUAAUAUAUUAAAAGACGAGACUCUUUUAUGAAUCAAUAUUCAAUUAAUUAUUAUUUUCCUAAGUAAUUUUUCAUCAUUCAAUAUAUUCCUAAUAGAUUGGAUGAUUACAAAUUACUUAGGAAAAUAAUAAUUAGUUGUUAGAAUCAUGUCUCGGACUUGAGAUAUAAUAAGUUUUCACGUGAAAACCCUGCAGGUGGAUUUUAUAUCCAUCAUAUGAAAUAGGUUGAGCAUUAUAAAUAAAAAAAUUAAGUUAAUCAAUGAGUAAAUUUUUCAGAGAAUGAAUUUAAUUUAAUGGAUUGAUGUCGCUAAUUCUAACAUGGGAAGUUAAAUAAGAUGUAAUGAUAGAUUUCAAAAUUAAAUCGAGGAGUGCAAUUACAGAAUUUUAGUGAAAUAAUUUAUAAUUUAUUAUGAUAUGAUAAUUCAUAUAUUCAUUACCAAAUUAAUAUCAUAAUUGAAAACCUUAGUUAAUAAAUUUGUGAUUUCUACUAUGCCUGAUUAACUAAUCAAAUUUGAAAAAGAAAAGAAAUUAGAAGAGGUAAUAUUAUUUUAUUCACUGGUCUUCUAUAAUUAAAAAAUAAAAGGAGUAAUUUAAAAAAUCAGUCUUGGCAUUACGACAGAAUUAAAGGGCCAAAACCAUUUUUGGCAUUAAGAUGAAAUUAAGGCUAAAACGUUUUUGACAUUAAGGCUGUAAUAAAGGGCCAAAAAUUCUUUACCCCUUUCCUUUCCCUUUUUAGUUGAAUUGAGAAUAAAUAGAGGAUUUUUUUUUUUGAGAAAACAUAUGCUUUUGUUCAGAACUCGAAAAUCCUUCUUCAAUUAAAAAAUCACUUGCCCACACAAGCGUUAAUUAAUAAGGCUAAUCUGGAAUUAGUAGAAGGCAAUAGACUCGGUAAGCAAGUUGUUGAACGGUUUGUGUGAAGGCUUCGAAAGGUAAGUGUUUUCUCAAUUUCGUUUGUUAAUUUAUGUUAUCUAGAUUAUAUAUAAGUUGUUGAUCCUUGUUAAUUACUUUCGCUGUGCAUGUUCUAACAGUUGGUAUCGGUAGUUUUCUUACAUAUGCUGGAUAACAUAAAAGAAAUUAUAUGAUUUGCUUUACACAUUUCAAUAAUCACUGUAUAAAUUAUGUUGUUGAUAGUUGAUUUUCUUAUUAUGGAUGAUAUUAAUGCUUUAUGGAAUCUAAGUUUAUCAUCCCAAAAACAGAAAAUGAAUUUUGCAUGUUUUACUUAAUUUUGGAAAAAUUAUUUUUCUUAAUUAAGGGUAAAUUUAUAGCGAGUUUCGGCUAAACCCGAUCAUAGUUGUUACUCACAUGCUUUAACGAGCAGUGUGGUGGUAGCGAAAAUUGUUUGGACAGUUCGUUCCACCCUUACAAGUGAUUUGACCCCUAAAUGCCUAAAUAUAUUUUUUGAAUUGAGGAAAAAAUUGUAAAGUUUUUGAAAUUGGCCCAACUACCUUCGUUACUUAGAUAGCUUAACAAGUAGCGUAGUGGUAAGGCCAAGCAGUGCGGGCAGCCCUGCUGACUCUCAAAAAUAUCCUGAUUGAUAAUUGCCUAUUUGAUCAGUUUUGAAGUUUUUUAAUUUUUGACGAACUUCGAAUGACCUAAAAUUUGGUAGGUUUAUUGGAAAUGAUCCACUGAGCAAUACUCAUAGAUAUGCUGUGACCUAGGCCCUUUCCGGCCAUUCAGGAUCAUUUUGAUGGUUUUUUGGACAAUUUUGUGUUUUCUGAAAAUAUUUUUUACAAACUAGUGAUUAUAUGAUUUAUUCCUUAUGAUUUUCGGUGGUUAAUUACAGUAGAUACUAUGAGUUUACAUAUUGACAUAAGUCAUCUUUCUCAUCAGAUAAACUUGUAUAGUAUUGUACUGUAUUUUUAGUAGCUUAUUUUUGAUGACUUAUAUUAACUUUUCAACUAAGUUACAUAUUAGUUCCAUGGUAAGAAACUUAUGAAAUGUGAUAUUUAUCUAACUUAAAUCAACUAUUUACUCUCUAAAUGAGUUGGUUCUGUUUUAUUUAAGAGAUAAUAUAUCUAACAUUACAUGUAUAUUUGCUUAAAUGGUUAAGUUUCCCUGACGAUUCUAAUUAUUUAUGUGCAUGGUUAUAUGUGUGAUGUCUUUUUUAAGAAUUUAAUCAUCCCAAAGCAUGUCUAAUGAUCUGUUUUAAUUUGAUUAUAUAAAAGAUUAACCAUGUCUUCAUUAAAUCCCCUAACUUCUAUCCUGAAUCAAAAUAAACUAGAAAGUCCUAACUAUGUUGACUGAAAAUAAAAUUUGAAUGUUGUUAUUACUGCUGAAGGCUUUAAAUUUGUGCUGGUUGAAGAAUGUAGUAUUAAGCCUGUUGAACCCACUGAUGAUGAGACUAAAUCCUAUGAUAAGUGGGUUAAGGAUGAUGAUAUGGCAAGAUGUUACAUACUUGCCUCCAUGGAAAAUGUGCUGCAAUAUCAUUAUCAAUCCAUGACUACUGCUUAUGAUAUGCUUAAAUCUCUCAAAAAGAUAUUUGAUGAGUAAAAUCGUGCCAUAAAGCAGACAACCAUGAAACCCCUAUUGACCACUAAAAUGAUUGAAGAAACUUAAGUGAGGGAGCAUGUUCUUAAAAUAAUGAGUCUGUUGAACGAGAUGAAAAUUCUUGGUGCGAUUAUUGAUAAGGAGUCUCAGGUAGAGAUGGUCCUACAAAAUCUAUCAGACAAUUUUAAGUAGUUUUACUUAAAUUAUAACAUGAAUAAUAUGGACUUAUCCCUUGCAAAACUGCUGAAUGAACUACAAGCAGUAAAAUCUAUCAUUAAGCAACAAGCUCCUCCUGCGGCGUUGAUGGUUGACAAGCCUUCGACUUCAACUUAUAAGCUGAAAGGUAAAAAAAAAAAAAGAAUCCCCAUAAGAUUCCAGGUGCUAGUGGUGGUGUGGCUAAGCCUAAGAGAAAGUGCUAUCAUUGCAAGCAACCUAGUCAUCAUAAGAAACUGUGCCUCGACUACAUAGCUAAGAUGCAGACAUAAGGUACUUCUUUUUCAUAUGUCGUUGAAACAUUUUUAGCGACUAUUUCUAUCUAGUUUUGGGCUAUAGAUUUGGAAUCUACUAAUUAUAUCUGCACUUUUUGCAGGGGUGUAACAACCUGAAAAUUUGAUGAAAUAUGUGAAAUUUAUGAUUUUGUAUGAUUUGACUAUUUUACCCCUCUACAGAGUUGCAUUGUGGUAUUUUUGGGGUGUCGGAGUGAUUGACAUGAUUUUUGAUGCAUUUUGGUGCCUUUUGUGUGAUAUUGUGAUUUUAGGUGGCUUCGAGAGCCUUAUUUUGGACUUAUGUGGAUAUCUUUUAAUUCGUGCGAUAGAUGGCUGAAUAGACUGUGCCAGUAACUCUAAAAUAUCCAUUUUAGGCUAGGUACACCUUUGAUUCAAGUUCCGAUGCACCCGCGCUCAUUUCAACCUGUUGGUCGGAAAGUUGAAAAAUUUUAAAAAUGGGUGUGGGCCCCACAUUUGGUCAAAACGACCUCAGAUGAAAAGUCCAAUUUCACCAACACAUCCGAAACGUCGAUUGGGCCUAUUCUUUUACCUUUUCUUUUGAGAGUUAAAAGCCUAAUAUAGUGUGAGAGCUUAAAAGUGAAGCUUGUGGGAGAUUAGGAAGCUAGAUUAACAUUUAUUUCUUAAUUCUAUUAUUAAUUUAAGGUGAUAGUUCAUCCUUUCUUACUCUAAUUCCUUGAUUAAUUUCUCAAAACUCUAAAAAUCUUAGAACUUAAUUUUAAACCCCAAUUUCAUUUGAAUAAUAUUUUAAUCUUAUAAUUACUAGUUUUUUUUAUCAAUUUAACCUCGAUUUUAACAUAAAUUUCAAAAACUUUAUCCGAUAAAGCUCAAAAAUAGUUUUUCUUCGAUUUGAACCUCGUUUUGGACUCGAUUUAACUUAGAUUUUCAGCUUUAGAUUCAUAAAAAUAUGGGGAACAAAUUUUUAAAGUAAAGUUGUGAUUUUGCCCUUUUUUUUAAAAACCCAUUUUGAGGGUCCGUUUUGACCCUGAACUAAAAGUAGUCAAUAUGAAUAUCGUUAGCUUUGUUUUGAGGGUAGAUUCUAUAUUUUUAGAUUUUAAUUGAUUUUAGAAUCGUUCGUGAAAAGUAUGGUCGUGAGUUCAAAGUAUAGCGGAUUGAUUUCGACAUUCGAGGUAGGUUAUAGCUUAACUCUUUCAGACUGGACUAGGUAGUAAAUGUUGGUACAAAAUGCAUGUUAAGGGUAGAAACUAAUCAUGAAAUAUGAUUAUCUAUAUGUUGUGCCCGUGUGGGGGCCUGAAGAUGAUGUAAUUGCUGAAUAUGAGAUAUCUUGUGAUAUGUGUGACCGUGUGGUGUCUUAUGUGAUAUUGAUAGGCUGAAAUACAUGUGAAUAGUUGUAUAGUGUUGUUAGAAAUGCCUAUUGUGGUGCCUUUGGCGUAUUUUGAUAUAUAUAUAUAUAUUCAUACUUUGUGGGCAUAUGAAUGAUGUGAAAAAUUCAUGGAUAGUGAAAAUAGUGAUUGGAUGUUGGCUCACGUGGUUGUGGAAUAGUAACAUUAUGGCUGGUGGUGAAAGUACAUCAUAUGAAUUGAUUUUGAAAAAUAGACCAUGUAGAUUGGUUGUUGAAAUGACACGACUAGCCCCGAGGCCUUGCCGUAAUGGGCAUCCCAAGUCCGACUAGGACCAGAGAUUGCCCCGUUACCCAACCCAACCUUCAGCCGCCUGCCUUGAGUUGACUGAAUUUCGAGCAUGAAACAUAAUAGUGUAACAACUCACACAAAGACCCUGAGAAUAGAUCACAACCGUGACCAACCCAACCAAGUCCAACCAUCUCAUACUAAUAAUCCAACCAUACCAAACCACACCAACUAAGGCCAUAAACCAGUCCAUAUCUAAAGAUGUUCCAAAACAUAAUAUAAUUAAUCCCAAAAUGAAACAUGACAGAAAAGUGAGAAAUUAUGUUCGAUGAUGCCAGCCUCCCAGCCUAUUCUAAUGCCAAGGCUAACACCUAUAGCGAUCCCGCCCAUACUAACUCAUAGAAGUACCAUAAAGCCUCUAUCUGAAAGGGUAAUAAAAUGCGAUUGGGAUAUGCCCCCAACCAUAGCCAAAACCAAUAUCUAAAAUAAAACUAAAAUGUCUAGAAAUAUCCAUAACGUGAAAUGAUGCCUUUCAAAAGGAUGAAAGCUCACUACUUCAGUCCAAAUACUGUUCUCAAGUCAAUCACUAUAUAGGAGGAGUAGAACAAUCAGUUCUUACAUAGCGUAGGUAUACAGCCGCCAGUAGACGGGGUUAGUGAGUGACCGCUAGCAUGAUCUCAGGGUAAGGAUAAAAUAAUGCAAUUUAUAAAACCAAGUAAAAUCUUCCAAAUGCACACAACCACACACACACACACAUACAUAUAUAUAUAUAUAACUAUGCUGGGAAAAAGGGUCGGGUUUAGCAUGUCUUUAAAACCUUUACUAUGCUGUGUAGCUUUGCCAUCCUAAACCACCCACGGGCUAUAUAGGUUCAACUCACCCUACUAAAAGGGCCUCAGUGCGUGUAUCCCCACAACCAGGGAAAUAUCCCAUGAGAUGACUAGUACAUCCCCAAAAAAAAGUGUGACAUCAUGCACACGUUCGCCAAGACCAAUCUCAUAUCGGCAAAUAUGAGUUUCCAACUUUGGUCCCCCUCCGGACCUCCACCUUCUAUGACUUUGCUAUACAUCCCACCAUUAUUGCCCAAUUAAAAUUAGUUUCCAAAUAACCAAAUCAUUAUCCAUUUAUUAACCAAGGCCAUUGAUAUUGGUAUCGUCAUACCAACCCUUACUUGCAAGUAUCAUCCAUAGCCAACCAUUUAUAGGUUUAAGGGGACUUUCGAGUGCCCUUCCAUUACCAUAUUAAACUAAUUGAGAGACUUUCAUGUUACCCAUAAGCAUAAAUAAUUAUCCUUUAUCCUUUUCAAACCUUUUAAACUAUUCAUAAUUUCUUUACAAAGUUUAAAAUAUGCAAGAGUUCCAUUAAAGAAAGUCAAUGCAAUGAACAUGUCUUUAUAAACAUUUUAUCAAACACAGUGGGGCCAUAAUAUGAUCAAAACCAAUUCCAAUUACCAUUAAACAAUUAUCAUGCAAUCCAAUUAUCCAAAACCACCAUUACUGCAUAUAAAAGCAUAAUUAAAACCAUAGGAAACCAUAACCAAGCAAUUAACAUCAAACCCCCCAAAUAAUACUUGAAAUCCAAAGUCAUGCAAUAGUAAAACCAUAAAAACAUUCAUAUAAACCAUGAAUUUAAUUAAAUUAACAACAAGGGAAGAGAAACAUGCCUUAAAACAAGAUAAUGGCCAAAAAAAAUCUCCAAGAAAAGCCCCAAAUUGAUCCCUUAGUUGAAACCCUAGGUCCCCUUGCCCAAUAGCUCUUAAGAGAAUUAUGAAGUGUUUAGGAAGAGUUUCUAAGUGCUAAUGAAUAGAAUAAUAGGGUAUAUAUCCUCCCAAAUAGGUUAGAAAUCGUGGGGCCUUAUUAGUAUAAGUAGGUAAAUGUCUAGAAUGCCCCCACUUAAGUUGCACAAAAAUCCUAUCACAGGGAUACGAUUGGCCCUCACGAGUCGUACCCUCCCAAUAUGAUUGGUAUUCACCACUUGUAUCCAAGUCUUAACCCUUGAAUAAAACACUGUACAGUAUAUGACUCAUCCAAAAAAGUCAUAACCACAACAUACGAUUCGUAUCCAUAACCUGUAUCCCUGGCAGAAUAAAAUACCUAGGGAAUUAAACACUGUUUACCAUACAAGUCCCUGUUAUGAUUUGUACCUUGGAUUACGGCUCAUGGUGAGCCACUCAUACUCAGAUCAAAUCUAAGUAACCAAGUAUAAGAUUAAAUUAAGGAACCAAAUGACCCAUAACCACCAAUACAACUCGUACCCCUAAGUCAUAUCCAUUCCAGUAACCAAAAUCCAUCCCACCAAAUCUUCACACCCCCUUUUUACCAAAAAAAGAUUUAUUUUAAGUUUGAAAAGGGUUUUCAUUAUUAAGUGCCAAAAUAUAAAGUUUGUUUCGAAUAGGAUUAUUUUUCAUUUAAAUUAUGAGUUGCCACUUGACAUAAAUCGGGUAUGAUAGGUCACCUUUUGAAAUCCUUUUUCCAAAUAGUUUGACUCUAAAAAUUGAUCCACGAAUAGAGAUUCCGAUUAAGGAAUUCUGUUGACCGAAGAAAAGGUGUUAAACAUUCCUCAAUCUCGUGGUUUGACCAAAGUCGCCCUGUAGAGUAUAUCAGCUAGCAUGACACUGUGAAAUAUAUAAACCAAACAAAACACACAAUAAGGAAAUAAACAAUCAAACAAACAAAACUAAAACAUAGUGUCCAGUCUAAUUUAUUACAAAUCAAAAUAAAAAUACUGAAAUGAAAACCUAAAUUAUUCUAAUUAUCAUAAAUAUACUUUACCCGAUGCCUCGGACCUUGAUUACGAACCUCCUUGCGUACAUGAUACUUUGGGGCAUUCCCCGAUAAAUAAAUACAAUUUUUCUUAGGGUAUUCCCCAGUCAAAUGAGUACAAAAAAUUCAAAUUCGAUGAAAUAAAAGCUACUCAACACAUUCAAAAAUUGAACAAUCCACAACCCUAAGUUUUGUCUACCCGACCUAAGAUUUUCCUAUUGAAUUUUUUGUCUUAGACAUGAUACUAUCGAAUUUGAUAAAUUAAUACUUAUUUCAAAUUAACCAAUUAAUCAACUCAAACUAAUGUGUUUUUUUAUUAAUUUCAAUACCCACCCCCGAGUUUCAUCUUCAAUCAUUGAUGAAACAAGUCUCAAUUAUCAAUUCAAAGCUUCUCCUAUUGAGUUUUCAAAACCCAAAUCAAGCAUCAAUAGCAUACACACCGUAAGGAAUCAAAACAUGCUAAGCACACCGGUCAUUCACAAUCAUAUAACAAAUUAAAGGGAGAGGAGAUAAUUAGACAUCAAAUGCUUUUUCAAUUAAAAUAAUCCUUCCAACUAAACUGCGUCCAAGACCUCGAAUGAGACCUCAACCAAUGAACAAAUCCAACUCGAUACCAAAUUAAUCGCAAAAAUCCUAUAAAUUUAAUUUAAACACAAAUCCAUGAAAAGAAAAUCCGCGACUCAAAGUAAAGAUUACAAAGCAUAAAAAUUAUAUGUAAUUUUUCAAUGGUAUCAACCCAAUAAUUGAUUUUGAGAUGGUUUGGUGGAUGAUUCUAGUUUUUUUGGUGAUGGGUCGAGCUGGUGUCUUUGGUUUUAUCUUGUCGGAGAUCCAACGAGCUUAGAAGGAAUGGAAAGCAGAGAAACAACUCAAAUUCUGAGCGACCGUGAUAUUUUUUUGACGAGAAAUAGUUGACCCCCCCCCCCCCCCAAAGAAAAAAAUCAACUGGAUUUACACCUAUUUCUGUUCAACCACUUUAAUUUCUCUCUGUUUUGCUAUGAUUUUUCCUUUUUUGUGUAGGGAUUGACCCUUUGUGUGUGUGUAUGAUUUGGGUCUGGUUUCUUCUCUGGUGAGGUGUAUGUUUUCCCUAUUAUUGUGUGGGUAUUAUAUGUAUCUCCCCAGAAUAUAUGUAGGUAUGUGUAAUUAUGUGUGUUGUGUAUUACAGUGAGGAUCGAUGUGUGAGUUCCAUUAUGUGUGUGUAAUUUAUGUAGGUAUGUAUGCAUAAAAAUGGCGUGAGGUGUGUGUGUGAAUUUGUUAGUGAGGGUGAGUGUGUAUUUAUGAUGGUAUCUCUCCGAUUGUAUAUGUUCAGAUGGGUAAAUUUUGAGAGAGUGUGCGUAUAUGGUGUAUCGAUGUGUGUCGUGUUCUUCUCCCCUUCUAUGAGAAUUUUUAGUGGGUAUUUGUGAGGUGUAUGUAUCUCUCUUCUGUUAGGUGAAUUCUGUUAAAGGGGAGUAUAAAAUGUGAAGGGAGAGGGUAUAUGGUUUAGAGGGGUAUGUGGGUAUGAGUGGUGAGGGAUGGGGUGAGGUGUCCACCUUUAAUUGGAGAGGUUGUUAUUUUUUUUUAUGGAUUUGUUGAAAGUUGGUUAUUAUUUUUUGUCAUUUUGUGGAAAAAUUAUCAACUAAAAGAGAGUGUAUAGUAAGAUGGGGUAAAUUCGUCUUCCGAGAGGGACAAAAUUAGGUGUCUACAUCAUGUCCCUCUUUGGAUGUAAACACAAAGUGGUUUCAGACAAACAAGUAGACAACGAGGUAAAAUUUUGACUCGACUAUUAUUCAAAAAGAAAGACAAAGAAGGACAGAGUACCACCGAGUCUUGAUUUAGGAUAUCCUACCUACCCAUGUUAUGAGGGAAUCAAGUCACAGGUAUCUCAAAGGAUUGGAAGGAGAGAGACUAUACCGAGUUGGAGAGUCAAGGUGGUCCAAUCUAGGUUCCGGUCCACGACUUUGUCAUUACAUCAAAAAUAAAAAUUAUAAGUUAAAAUGAUAACUGAAGUUACAAAAGUCCUAUCUAUGCAGCUUCUCCGGACUCUUGACUUGAGUUUUUAAUACUUUCACAAUUGACAAAAGAUCUGAUCUUUUUUGGGCUCCAUACGAAAUUUGAUGUUGGAGAUGAACUCAAAAUUGACCAUGUUCUAUCGGUGGUACUUCUGAACCUUGAUCCUGAAUUUGAAAAUCUUCACCCUAUCCUUCAGGCGGGCUCCUACCUUACAAUUUCUUCACCUUGUUGCUUGACUUUCAAUUUCAUCACCCUAUUCUUUAGGUGGGCUCCUAAUUUGCAAUUUCAUCACCCUGUUCUUUAAGCAGACUCCUAACUUUUAAUUUUAUCACCCUGUUCUUCAGGCGGGCUUUUGACUUUUAAUUUCAUUACCUUGUUCUUCAGGUGGGCUCCUGAAUUUUAGUUUUAUCACCCUAUUCUUUAGGCGGGCUCCUGACUUGCCAUUUUAUCUCCCUACUCUUCAGGCAUGCUCCUGACUUACAAUUUUAUCACCCUAUUCUCCAGGCAAGCUCCCAACUUGUAAUUUCAUCACCCUGUUCUCCAGGCGGGCUCCUGACUUAUAAUUUCAUCUCCCUAUUCUUCAGGAAGGCUCCUAACUUAUAAUUUUAUCACCUUGCUCUUCAGGUUUGCGUCUGAUUUUUAAUUUCAUCACCCUAUUCUUCAGGUGGGUUCCUGACUUUUAAUUUCAUCACCCCGUUCUUCAGGCGGGAUCCUGACUUGCCAUUUUAUCACCCUAUUCUUCAAGAGGGCUCAUGACUUGCAAUUUCAUCACCUUGUUCUUCAAGUGGGAUCCUAACUUUCAACUUCAUCACCCUGUUCUUCAGGUGGGAUCCUGACUUUUAACUCCAUUACUCUGUUCCUUAAGUGGGUUCCUGACUUUCAAUUUCAUCAUCCUAUUCUUCAGGCGGGCUCCUGACUUUCAACUUCAUCACCCUGUUCUUCAGGCGGGCUUCUGACUUGUAAUUUCAUCACCCCUUUCUUCAGGCAGGCUCCUGACUUUCAAUUUUGUCACCCUGUUCUUUAGCUGGGCUUCUGACUUUUAAUUUCAUCACCCUGUUCUUCAGAGGGGUUCCUGACUUGCCAUUUCCUCACUCUGUUCUUUGGGCGAGCUCCUGACUUGCAAUUUUAUCACCCUGUUCUUCAGGCGGGCUUCUGAAAUCAAAACCAAAACUAGAACAAAAAUUAUCCCAUACAAAGAUUAUGAUAAAAAUGAUUUAUUUUCCAAAAAAAUAAAGUCUCAUUUUGCUAGGAGGGUCCUAAAGUGAAGUUCUUAAUAAUAGGAAUUAAAUUUUCUUUUUGCCCCAGUUUAUCAUCAAAAGUUUGUACGGGUGUCAAACCCAAUCACAACUACUUGUAACAAUGCAUAAUGCAAAGAUGAAUCAAGAUUCUAAUCAACAAAUGCACCUUAUAAGGGUAAACAUGAAUGACUGAGACCAAACAAUCCGUCUCUUAAUAGUGAAAGUGAAAAAUACUUGCUAAACAUGCAUUUUUUAGGAUUAAAGGCUUAAAUUAGGAAGUGCACCUCUUAGCCAUAAGACAUGAAAGACCUAAAUUAGAGAAUGUAUCUCUUAGGGGUACAAGAUAAUGAGUUUUACCAUAAUUAUGAUUACCAAACCUGUAUAGCAACACUGCUCUUGCAUUUGCAGAAAUAAGGAAUUGCACCUCUUGAUAUUUGCGCUUUGAAGUCUUUGAUUAGAAGGUAGCAAUUGUUUCUAUUUCAUACAAAGAAAACUUAUGAGUUUAAAACAGGGUGGUUGGCUUGCGUCUUUGGCUUUCGAGGUAAUUUCUCUUGCACUUGUCUUGCUGCACCAUUGACCUAAACUUAAAUCAUUAAAAGUGACUCAUAAGUAGGGGUGUGCAAAAACUGAACCGACCGAUAGACCGAACCGAUAAAAAUGCUAUUGGGUUAUUGGUAUUGGGUUGUUAGGUUAAUGGUUUUUUAUGGUUUUAUAAAAGAAUUUAUUGGGUAAACAGUUAGGUUUCAGUUUUAGCUUAUUGGGUUAUCGAUUAAACCGUUAACCACCCAAUAAGGAUACACUAAGUUAUUGUUUUAUCCCUAUUUAUUUUAUAUACAUAAAUAUCUCUCUCUCUCUCUAUAUAUAUAUAUAUGUGCACUACUUAUUCACAAUUUAGUGAUUCACAAAGUAUUAACCUAUCCAGGGCAACAAAGGAACAAUAUAAAGCUCGAGUAUUAUCGUAUUAGAAAGCUUGAAGCAUUUAGUAGCUUCCAACAAUUAGGAUUUUGUUUUUUUUCCAAACUAGCAUUCAGUUCAAGUUUGAAUUUUCUUGUAAACUAAAAUGCAUUGCGUAGGAUUUUGGCGAUAGCUAAGAUUUUGUUUUUUAUGUUAGUUGUUACUAUUUUUUUUUAUGAGUAUUUUCUUAUUGGUUAAACCAAAAACCAAACCGUUAAGGAUCAAAAACCGAUAAACUAAAACCGAUAAGAAAUAUCUUAUUGGUUUUACAUAUUUAAAAACCAAAAACUGAUAAACCGAACCAAUAACACAUAAAACUGAACCGACCGAUGCAUACCCCUACUCAGAGGCAAGCGCAAUAUCUCCACUUUGGUGUGUCUCUAAGAUAAAUUCUUUAAACCUUGAUAUUUUCACAAAUUCUCAAACUUGUCUGUUGAUAAAACUUUCUGCAUUCCUCGUGUUAACUUAUAAUCAUGUUUCUUUCAUGUGCUGGCCAUUUAUCUUGCUUUGUGCAAUUGAAGAAGUUGGUAGAAAGUUUUGAAAUCCUUUCUCACUUGUUUUGACAUGACUUGACUCAAAGACACGAGAAAAAUAAUUUUUAUUCGAAUGACAGACUCAAAAGGACCAAAAAUAGAAAUAAAGAGAAGAAAAUAAAGACACUAUUUGUCCCUUUUUAAGAAUAAAGAAAAAAAGAUUUAUCUGAAAAUGACAAUCAAUUCUAAUGAUUAUGCAAUGUAUUUUUGGAUUAAGCUGUCUGAUCUUUACAUCCAAAGUUUCCACUAAUUGUUGUUGAGUUAAUGGCCCUGAAACUGAGUUGCUUUCUUAGGUAAAUUGCACUUAUAUACCUCAUUUGGCUAGUGACAUCUUGAAGGGUUUUCUCUACGAAACCUCUCUUAUUUUUCUUUAUCCCAGCUCAACAUUACCUUAUGGUUUUCGUGAGGGUUUUAACCAAUGAGCCUCUCUUAUUUUUAUUUUUCUCUACUUAAAAUCAUCUUACGAUGCCCGUAAGGAGUGAAGACUCUCUUAAUUUUAUCUCUCUCAACUUACCAUCAUCUUACGGUGCCCGUGAGGGUUUUCACCAACAAGAUUCUCUUAUUUUUGUUUUUUCUCAACUCACAAUCGUCUUACAAUUCCUGUGAGGGUUUUCACCAGUAAGACUCUCUCAUUUCAUUCUCUCAACUCAUAAUCAUCUUAUGGUGCCUGUGAGGGUUUUCACCAAUAAGACUCUGUCAUUUUAUUUCUCUCCCGAUUCUUUAUGCUGAGGAAAACAAGUAGUUCCCAAAAUGCAUCAUCCUAUGCAUUGCAUGCUUAGCCUUAUCAUUCUCAAAGAUUGAUCUGAAGGUCUUUCUUUGGUUGUAACUUGGCCUUUGGAUAAGGGUAGAAAGAAAGGAUGGCAUGAGGCCCUAGCGACACUUGAAGUGGGGUGGGACUUACAACUUUCGAAAUCGAUUCAAACAAUAAAGAUUAACUCAUGACCUAGUUUCUUUUGACUGGGUAAUUCUAAAUUGUUCAUUUUAUUGGACCGGGCCCAAAGUAGGUCAGCCUACAUAUCUCACCCUCGAGAGAGGAGAAUCAGGUCAUAUGUAGUUUCAACAACUUAUUCUUUUGCUUGAUUCUAAUUUUUUUUCUUUUGUUGAUUCUUUUCCUCUUGGAGACUUUUUCUGACUCUAUUUUUCUUGUCAUUCUUAUCUUUUCUUUCGUUUUGAACAUAUUUUUUUUUGAAACUUUUCUGACUCUACUCUUUUGCUCAACACUUUUCUUUUGAACUUUUCUGACUCUAUCUUGAUUCCAAAAGAGGGUUGUGAAAGAAAAUAGGACUAAAACUUAAACAGGGUAAACAAAGGAUGACACAAUGUUUGGAUAGCUAAAUGAAAUGCCUUCAUCAUAUAAAUCCUUAAAAAUGCAAGAUCAUGAUAUGCAGUAUGAAAGUGGGAGAUGGAGAUCAUUUAUAACAUUUUUUAGCUCUAGCUUGACCUGAGCAUGUGCGUCACUGCUUCUUCUGCACUUUGUCCCGCAUACAACUCCACCUUUGUUGUACAUCCCUCACAUCAAAUGAAUCAUGCUUUUGUGGAGCUGAUUAUCUUCCUAUUUCUUUUGGUAUAGGAUCGUGCAUCCACUACUUGACCUAACUUAGAUAUGCCUUUCAAUUGAUGAUCAAGUUGUUCUUGUGAUUCUUGCCUUAAUUUUUAAAGAAGGCUUCAACUUGGUCACCAAAUAUCUUACACUCUACCUAUUUUAUCUGAUGCUCUUUUCUAAAUGAAAUAUUCUGAUUCAAAGUUAAUGCUUAAACUGGAUUUUAAGAUUUAGCUGAAAAUUCAGGUAGCAUGUCAUAUCACUAGAACCAACAUAAAAUAUAUUGUGUAAAAUAUGGAUAAGUAUACUAUUGUGCAUUUUUCAAAGUAUAUUGAGAAAGUAGAAUAAAAUAUCUUGAAUUUUGCAAAGAGGAACCUUGUUGUAGGUGAUUAUGUAGAUCUGAUGUAUAAGCUCGGGGUCGAGGCUGACGGUAUUAUUGAGUUGAACCUCUCAAGCCCCGUUGUGUCCCCGACACAUAAUAGCUAGUUCUCCUUCUUCUUUCCUUCAAUCCCCCUUUGAUUGCAAUAUCGUCCUAAGUAUUUUACAGAUCCUCGUACCCAUCAUGCUCCUCAAAUUAUGAUAUCUCAAAGUUAGUAGGGAGAUUAACACUUGAAGAUAUGUCCUAGUCCUUAUAUGCAACAUCUUCAUAAUUCGCAAGUCCCAGAGAAUUUUGCAUAGACUUUUCUGCACUCUUUAUUUUCCUAGCUAUUUUGUUUUGCUUUUCUGUCGUGUCAGACUUCUUGUUAAGAAAUUUUGGUGGUCCAAUUAACAUAGAUGUGGGCUCAGGAGUAUAAUAGUGAUCAUCAAGAUUAUUAAAUAUUAACUCACUAGCAGACUGGAAAAGCAUAAUCAUUGGACAGAAAGCCAAGGUGGGAGGCUCAGUAGAGGGUUGGACAAUAGAAGCAUAGAUGAUAGAUGGUUCUAUCAAUGCGGUAGAUUUACACUAAAGAGCUAGAGAAUGAGUGAUGGAAGCAUUGGGAUGCUUUUGGCUUGGAGUGGAUUCUGAGGCAUGUUUUGGUACAUCAACAAUAGUAGGAAACUGACUUUGCAAUUUUGAUGGAAAUCUCAAGUUAUUUGUGGGGUCAAAAGUGGGGAAUGGAGGAAGAUCCAGCCUACGGUCCCAAGAUCGAUACAUUUUAAUCAUUUGUUGCCUUAAUCUUACAGUUACUUGCUUUAAACUCUUAUUUUCCUGGAUCUUUGUUUGAUCCAUGAUGUCACUCACCAUAUACUUGUUGAACACAACUAACCCUUCCUAGGACUUGGUAUGAUGUGGAGGACCAGCCAAAAUGCCAUAAACCAACCACUUUAAACUAACUGAAUGAGAAAUAACAAAGGUGUUAGAAUGCAAUACUUAUCCAAAACCUUUUUUAUUUUUCUUUUGAAAAGAUCACCGAACCCAAGGAGGGUGCCUACGUAUCUCACCCUCGAGAGAGGAGAAUCAGGUGUGCGUAUUUUGUAAAGUUUGGCCAAAGAUGGCCAAUCAAACGCUCUUUAUUUUUCUUUUCUUUUUCACAAAACUUUAAGAAGAACAGAAAAAUAACAAAUUGCCAAAAGAAUUGAUUAAAAUCUUUUUUAAUUUUUAGCUUAAAAUCCCUAUAUAAAAUGAAACCUAUGAUUACCAAAGAAAAUCUUUUUGGGUUUUCAAUUUUGAAUUUUUUACAAAAAUGAAACUUGAACCUAUUAAAGGAAAAUCUUUUUUGUAGUUUUGUUUUAAAAAGAUGUAUAUGACACCUACUCUAAAUGUAGAGUGAAGAAAAUCUUUUUGGAUUUUUGAAAUAAGAUAACCAGACCGUAGAAGGGCGGCCUACGUAUCUCACUCCCGAGAGAAGAGAAUCAGGUGUGUAUAAUUCAUCCAGAUUGGACAAUCAAACAAUAACGGACAGGCUGAACUAUGACUUGUGAGACACGACCAAGACAGAUGAAGAAAAACGUCUAUAAAAUCUUUUUUGGGGUUUUUCAAUUUGACACUUCACAUAGAAUUGACAACAAUAACUAUGAAAGUAAAAUCUUUUUGAUAUUUUUUGUUAUAUGCAAUGUACAAAACUUCUACCAUUUUUUGAAUUUUUUGUUUUAUAGAACGCUCCUAUUGAAAAGUCUUUUUUGAAGUUUUCAAAUUAUGAAUGCUUGCUAGAGAAUAAAAGAAAAAUCUUUUCGAUAUGUUUGUUUUUUCUUGAGAAGAUGAGAGCAAAAGGUAAAAAAAAUCAUUUUGAAUUUUUGAGUUGUGAAAAACAAAAUCCAUAAACAACACUAAAAAAAACUACAAAACUCCUUUUUUUUCCACUUUUUUUUUUAACUUUUCCUUGACUACACACUUUUCUUUAUUUCUAGCACAUGCUUUCCCCAAAUCAGUUCAUUGAAUGACUCUGCUACCCUCAAAGAACCAAGAAUUAGCACGUACGGUGUUUUAGGGGAAAGUCUCCUAUAAAAGACCAAGUGGGUCCCGCUAACAAGGCUGUUCGAGGGAGCGUAUGGUCAUAGUGGUUGUGAUUACUUUCCACCUACUCCAUGCUAGCCGACGACUCCCCUUCCUAAAAUAUGGGUGACUCAACUAGAGGUUAUGUAUACAACGUGUACUGCGGGACUUGUCGUGAAAGAAAUAAUUCGGGUUAUGCAAAUGAUGACAGAUAUAAAGCAGUAACACAUAAGAGAAAAAAUGUAAACACAUAGCACGUAGGCACUCAUAAUGAUAAAUAAAUACAAAUGAUAACACAAACAAUGUUUAUACACCCAAAAUGUCAAACUAAGCUGAUACAAUUCCAAAACUAAGCUCGUAUUCUGAAAAAAUUCCCAGUGGAGUCGCUAGAGAUGUCACACCCCCCUUUAACCAAAAAAGAUUGAUUUUAAGUUUCAAAAGGAUUUUCAUUAUUAAGUGACAAAUUAUAAAGUUUAUUUGCGAAAGGAUUUUUUUCAUUUAAACUCAGAGUUGCCACUUGACAUUAAUUGGGUGUGCCAAGUCACCUUUUAAAAUCCUUUUUCCAAAUAGUUUGACUCUAAAAAUUAACCCAUGAACAUAGAUUCCGAUUAAGGAAUUCUGUUGACCGAAGAAAAGGUGUUAGACAUCCCUCGAUCUUGUGGUUUGACCAAAGUCGUCCUGUAGAGUAUAUCAGCUAGCAUGACACUGUGGAAUAUAUAAACCAAACAAAACACACAACAAGAAAACAAACAAUAAAACAAACAAAACCAAAAAAUAGUGUCUAGUCCAAUUUAUUACAAACCAAAAUAAAAAUACUGAAAUGAAAACCUAAACUAUUCUAAUUAUCAUAAUUAUGCUUUACCCGAUGCCCGGGCCUUGAUCACGAAUCUCAUUAUGUUCAUGAUACUUCGGGGCAUUACCCGAUGAAUAAAUACAAUUUUUUCCGGGGCAUUCCUCGGCCAAAUGAGUACAAGAAAUUCAAAUUAGAUGAAAUAAAAGUCAUUCAACACAUUCAAACACUGAACAAUCCACAUUCCUAAGUUUUGUCUACCCGACCUAAGAUUUGCCUAUUAAAUUUUUGAUCUAAGGCACGAUACUAUCUAAUUUGACAAAUUAUUACUUGUUUCAAAUCAACCAAUUAAUCAACUCAAACCAAUGUGCUCUUUUAUUAAUUUCAAUCCCCACCCCCGAGUUUCAUCUUCAAUCAUUGAUUAAACAAGUCUCAAUUAUCAAUUCAAAGCUUAUCCUUUUGAGUUUUCAAAAUCCAAACCAAGCAUCAAUAGCAUACACACCGCAAGGAAUCAAAACAUGCUAAGCACACAGGUCAUUCACGAUCAUAUAAAAAAUUAAAGGAAGAGAAGAGAGAAUUGGACCUCGAAUGCUUUUUUAAUUAAAAUAAUCCUUCCGACUGGCCCCCGUCCAAGACCUUGAACGGGACCUCAAUCAACAAGCAAAUCAAACUCGAUACCAAAUUAACUGUAAAAAUCCCAAAAAUUUGAUGCGAACACAAAUCCACGAAAAGUAAAUCCGCGACCCAAAGUAAAUAUUAUAAAGUCCAAAAUCCGUAUGCAAUUUUUCAACGAUAUCAACCCAAAUAACCAAUUUUGAGAUGGUUUGGUGGAUGAUUCUGGUUUUUCUGGCGAUGGGUUGAGCUGGUGACCUUGUUUUUGUCUCGCCAAAGCUCGGUGAGCACAGAAGGAACGUAAAGUGGAGAAACAACUCAAAUUCUGGGAAACUGUGAUGUUUUUCUGACAAGAAAUAGUUGGCCCCCCAAAAAAUCAACCCAUUUUCGUUCAACCACUUUAAUUUCUCUCUGUUGUACUCUGAUUUUCCUUUUUCUGUGUGUGAAUUGACCUUUUGUGUGUGUGUGAUUUGGGUAUAUUUUCUUCUAGAUGAGGUGUAUAUUUUCUCUAUUAUUGUGCGGGUAUUGUGUGUAUUACCCCAGAAUAUGUGUAGGUGUGUGGGAAUUAUAUGUGUUGUGUAUUACAGCGAGGAUCGAUAUGUGAAUGCCAUUGUGUGUAUGUAAUCUGUGUGGGUGUGUAUGUACAAAAAUGGUGUGAAGUGUAUGUAAUCGUUGUUAUUAAUUGUUCAUUAUAUUUUGCUAUAACUUAGUUUGGUUGGCUGAUUUUGGUGUCACCUACACCUUGUUAACUUGUCAAACUCAUAUUAUUAUUCUUGGCCGAAACUAGCUCUCAAAGGGUCCUCGGUUUGUUCAUGAGUUCCUAGUCUCUUUCCUUACCAUUUGGUAUCAAAUCAAGGCUGGUUGUGUUCUGAUACUACCAAUCUUGGGCUCUCUUAGUCGAAAUAUCAAAAGAAAAAAGAGUUGAAGUGUUCUUGUUCUUGGUCGAGUGUUCUUCUUCUUGUUGUUGUGUUUGGCCGAGAUUUGUAUCUAGAUUUGAGUGUGUUUUGUUGUCUUUGUUUGUUUUUAGUGUUGGUUCUCUUUCUACUCAACACUUAUUGAGUCUACCACCCAAGUUCUUGAGCAAGAUUCAAGUUGUGUUGUGGUGUUAAAUGGACGGUUUUGUUGUUGUUGAUGAUGGUGUUCAUCUUGUGUUCUUGUGUUGUGUCGAAGAAGUUGUUAUUUGAUCUUGAAUCGAGAAAAGAAGUAUAAGACUUUGUGUUUGUUUUGAAAACAAUUCCAAGACUACACCACAGUAGUAAAAGAAAAAGAGACAUUCAAAAAGCAUACUUAUAAAAAGGAGUAACAACACAUACAAGGCUACUCCAAAAGGAUGUUUUGCCAAAAGAGUACUAGUUGGUGAAAAGUUGGUAGAAAACUUUGACUCUUGAAAAUAGAGUCUAAAAUCUUGUCCACCUAUACCAUAUCCAAAAUAUCUUCCUCAAAGGUGUAGUAUUGAACAUCAAAGUCUUGGAAUAAAUUUUCUUCAACAACGUGUGUUUUGUCUUAUAGGUUUGUGUGGUAUUGUUGCUUGCGGUUCAAAGACUUGAACAUUGUUGGUGUGUUGAUGUUGUGAAUCCUUAAGGUAAUUUCUUGGCCAUAAUGCAAACCAUUUAGGGCCCUCCUUGAUGCUAUGUCCCGAGACAUUGCUAGGGCGAAUGCGGGUCUUGAAAAGAUUGACUUAGAUGUGGUUGCUAUGAUUGAAAGGUUGGAUCAUAUGGAGAGUCAAAGGAACUCUCAUGCUUAUACUCCUCUACUCCAUGUUUCCUCAAGUGGGCAUGACUAAAACACUCCCACCACCAUUGCCCCCUAAACUUUACCUCAAAUGAUCAAUCUUCCAAGACCACCACAAAAUACCAUAAGUCAAGCUACCAAUUACCCUCAAAAUCGAGGCCUAAGUGUACCACCUCCUCCAUGAUUUGAUCAAGUCCAACAAUAAGGACUUGGAAGCUAAAUUCCUCCACUAAAACUGAACCCUCCCAUCCAAGAACAACUUAACCAAAGACGUCAACCUCCACCAAAUCAAACUCCUCCCUUCCAAGAUCCACUUCUCCAAAAUUGACUCGUCCAUAUAGAGGAAUAUGGAAGAGAGGAACAUGAAGGAUAUAGAGUCUAUUAUGAGACUUAUAUGAUGGAAAAAGAGUUAAGAGGAAGACAUAGGGAUCAAAGGGGAUACCGAGGGCAUGGAGGAAGAGUUGGUCUAUGGGACCAACAAGGAACCCGCCACCAAGUGGAGAUAUGGGAAUUGAAAUGGAUGAGCUUGAAGGAAAAUAUCAAGAUGGAGAGGAAGCCUAGGUUCAAAAUGAAGAAGUUGGCCGAGACUUGUGUUAAUGAGAUCUCGUGUCGUCAUGUUCUUUGCGGACUGUUUUAGUUCUAUCUCAUGUUUUGCAGGCUGUUUUGAGUGGUUUCUUUGAAGUGGACAAUUAAGCGAGGUGAAGCCAUGAAUUUGUGGGAAAAUUUCUCUCAAGAUGGAGAGGAUGACAUAAGAAUAAUCACGGAUAUGAACUUAAGAGAGUUUCUCUCAAGAUGGAGAGGAUGAUACAAGAAUAAUCACUGAUAUGAACUUAAGAGAGUGCAUGUUGGACCCGAGACUUGGUGGAUACAAAUGAAGUGCAAAGGAGCACCUAAAUGGACACCAAAAUUGUCCAUACCUAAUCCAAGGGCACCUACUUGAAGCCAUUCAUUAAAGGGCCUUUUUGGUCAUUUCACCUUACUUUUGUAAUAAAUCUAUAAAUAGGCUAGUUUAGUUCUUUAGAUCUUUAGUUGAUGAUUAUUGUAAGUAUUGAACUUUUGAAACACCAAGUCCUCUCUCCUUAAGGCACAAAAAGAAAACUUGUAACUAGGAAAACAUUCAAGGGUAGAAACGUUGGUGCUUGAGUGGUAGACUCUGCUCUUGUGUCAUCGUAAAAGUUAGGUGAUUGUGUGUGUAGCUGUUAAGGGUCUCAGAGUUUAAUAUACUCUUUGGUUCUUAGGAUUUAUUCCACCUUUGUCUAGCUAUCUAUCAUUUUGUUUGUUGUUAUCUUGUAGUAGAUUGUAUCUUGUAUUGUAAGUCCUGUGGUGUUGUCUUGUUAUAACAUUGUCAUUAUUCUUAAUUGUUCAUUAUAUUGUGUUGUAACUUAGUUUGGUUGGCUGAUUUUGGUGACACCUACACCUUGUUAACUUGUCAAACUCCUAUUCUUAUUCUUGGCCGAAACUAGCUCUUAAAGGGUCCUCAGUUUGUGCUUUGUUGAGUGGACUGUUUUGGUGUCAUUUCCUGAGUUCCUAGUCUCUUUCCUUAUCAAACGGGAACCAACCUAGGACGAAUUUAUAAAUAUGUCGUGCACUUUUAAAUGAUUUUCUGAUGAAUUUCAAUCGGAAUCAUGGGCAGUGGAGAGAUAGUGGUGGCAGAGAACAGGGCGAUAGAGUGAUGGAGAUUGACUGUGGCCUAGUUUUAUUGGACAUCAGCUGGCAGUGGAGCGGCGGUAUGGUACUAUUGUUGGUCGGGACUUGAGAGGAUGAGGCGGCAGUGGUAUUUUGGUGUAGCUGGUCCAUCGAUAGGGGCGUUGGCCUAGUGGCUGGCGGCUAUUGUUGUUGUCACCGGUUAUGGUUGUUCGAUGUUUGCUAGAGAGAGAGAGAAGAGAGUAUGGCUGAAGAAAGAGAAACAAACGACUCUUUUAUUGUUUUGGGAAAAUAGGAUUAGGGUUUGUUUUGUUUAAAAAGGGAAGAAAGGAUGAUUUAAUCCCAAUCGUCGAUCGCAUAUGAUCAACGAUUGUGAUUAAAAUUGAGAAGAGGAGAUGAAAAUUGAUUAAAAAUUGAAUCAGAUUAAACUCAAAAAUAGGAUAAAAUUGAUAUUAAUCGAAUAUAAAAUGGAUAAAAAUUAAAUAAGUUAAAAAUAAUUUAGGUUGCUAUUUACAAAUAUAACAAGAUAUCACUAUCAAAAAUAAUCUACGCAUGUAAAAUUAAUGUUACAUAAAAAAUAUUUUUAUAACAUUAUCGGUAAUAAGUUAAAAAUAUAUUACUUACGAGUAGUAAUAAUAAUAAGAAGAAGAAAUCAAUGUUUGUAAAUUAUGAGAGAAAAUAUUAAAAUAAAAUAUUAACAAUUUACGUGAAAUGUUAUAUUUAAGUUAAUAAUUUAUAUGUACUAUAAAAACUGAUAAUGUAAAAGUAAUAAAAGUAAAUUGUAAAUUAUCAUAUUGUGAAUGUGACACGUCAAAAUGUCAUUCGAUAUUAAAAAUAAUGCGUAGAAAAUACUAAUAUUCAAAAAUAUAAUUUUUGUAAAAUAAUAGCCUAAGAAAGCAUCGGGAGGUCAAAAUUGGGUGUCAACAGCUUUCCUCAUUGCUUGAGAAUGGUAAAAGAAUUGUCGAGCAACGAAAGUUGAUGUAGUAGCCAAUUUUAUUCGAUCGAGAAGAGGAUUUGUUGGAGUGGGAGUAACGGGAGGUGGUUUUUAAAAAAUAGUGUGGCCGAGACUUUGGUUUAAGUUUCCUACAUAUCUCUGGUUUUACAAGAAUCAGGCCGUCUGUAGUUUUUAGAUUUAGGAAUGAAUGAUGUGCCUAAAGAAUGUCAAUGAUAAUGGAUAGGGGCAUCAAUAGUGAAAUGGUGGAUCGAUGAGAUGGAAAUGAAUAGAAUUUGAAAGCGUGAAAGUGAAAGGUAUGUGAGUUUCAAUUUGAGUUUAUGCGAUGGAUGGAUAAAUGGGGUGAUAUUUCAAAAAUAGGGGCAAAAAUUAUUUCUAUUUGUUACUCUUUCUCUGUUACCUACGUACUUUACAGUAUACUAGAUAACAAGGAUUAGGGUAUGUAAACGAUAAGCAAUUACUAUACAUAAAAUAAAUGUGGGAGUAAAGAAAUCAUAUAUGUUGUAUAUGUGGAUUUAAUAUUGGGCCUUUCGAUGCAAUGUUAGAUUAGCUGUUGGGCUUCUCGAUAUGAUGUUGGAUUGACUAUUGGGCCUCUUGAUAUGAUGUUGGAUCGGUUGUCGGGCCUCUCAAUGCAAUGUUGGAUCGAUUGUUGGGCCUCUCAAUGCAAUGUAGGAUCGGCUAUUGGGCUUCUCAAUAUGAUGUUGGAUCAGUUGUUGGGCUUCUCGAUAUGAUAUUGGAUCGGCUGUCGGGCCUCUCUAUGGAGUGAUUCCUGUCAUCUGAACCUAUUAAUCCUAUGCUCAAAGAAAUAUUGUGAUUUUGUAAAAAAUGGGAGGUUGAUUUGUGCCUCUGCCUCUGUUGAAGUAUCUUCUUCUUGAUUGUUGUCGUUUCGCUAAUAAGCCUCAUUCGGGUCUUCACUCGGGUAGAUAGAAAUAGAUAGUUGUUUAAAAAAAUCAUGCUUGCAAAUGGUUGAAAGUGAAGAAAAAUUUGUCAGAAUAAAACAUGAAAUGUUGUUAAAUCAUUGGUUGUGACAUGUUUUAAGACAAUACAACAUCUUAUAAGUCCUUUUUAUAUUGUUUAGUAAAUUUUGAGGACCAAUCAAAAAUUUCUGCCCCAGUAUAGUGUAACACCCCGUACUUUUACCUAACUUAAAUUCAUCACAAAAAUACAAAGAAUUGCUUUAAAGAUGAAUACACAUUUUUACAUGUGGAAUUUUUAAGAUUUUGACUUUUUGUUGUGUGGAAAAUUGAAUAAGCUUUCUAUCGAUAAAAAAUUCGCCCAAAGCCGACAGUCGGGCAAAGAGUUAUGGCCAUUUUAGUAAGAUAGUGUACCACCUGACCCAUCAACGCGCGCGGAGCCAGCCAAAAUGUUAAUUGUCAAAAACCAGUGAGCCUCCGCGAUAUUGGGGCGAAGCCAAGGCUCAAUUUCAGAAUUGUCCUUUUUCAGUGUUCCAACACGAUACCACUGCGUCGUGGUAAACUUCAAGGUCUCAAUCAAAGUGGCAACACGAUAUUACUGCGUUGCACCGCUAUGCAAUUUCCUAGUUGUCAUUUUCCAUUGGCUUGGCGUGAUAGUGGCGCGUCGCGCCAGGGGUCCAGAUUGGAAAAUUUCACAAAAAAUUAAAAGGACGCCCAGGGUUAAAUCAGUCUUUUCCUAUGAUUUUAUUCCGCCCAGAUAUGAGAUUUAAACCCUAAAAACAUUUAAACCCUUCAUUAGUCACUUUCCCCCAAAAACAAAAGGUAUUUCUCUCUCAAGAAAAUAAACCCUAACUCUCAAGAAUCAAGGUCAAGCCCAAGAAUUUCUCCAACAACUCAUCAAAUUAAGGUAUGUUAGAUGUUCAUCCAUGGAUCCUUACCUUCCAUGGAGCCCAAGAAUCCUUUUUCAAAAUACAAGAUUUAUGAUUUUCAUAUUUGAAUUUGAUUGAAUUCAUGUUCAUGGUGUUGUUUGAGUUUUAAUCCAUGAUUUAGAUUACAAGUUCCAAGAAUUGAUUCCUGCAUGUGUUGAAUUACAUGAUAGUCAUGAUAAACCCUUCAAUUUGCAAGUUGAUUGUUGUAACCAUAUUAACCCUAAGUGUUUAUGAUUUAAUGAACCAAGUAUGCUUCUUAUGUGUUUGAUAAAUUGUCUAUGAGAAUGAAAUAAUGUCAUUGUAGCAUGUUAACAUGUAUUCCCAAUCCAUGUACAAGUUAAUGCAUUAUAAGUGUUUGAUGAAAUGUCUCUAUGAAUUUAUUAUGACUAAGUGAACAUUGUUAUGUUAUUCAAGAUGAUACUUUGCUUUACUUUUCAUACUAUCGAGUUCUGGGGGUAUUUAAUACUCGAUAAUUUAGCUGUUUAUCUAGAGCCAGUGUCAGUUACAGAAUAGUAUCAGUCAUGUCACUAUCAGUAGUACUCUUAAUCCAUUACAGAACUCAGUAAAACUCAGUUCAGUGUCUUUUAGUUGGGAGUAGGAUUCAGCAACGAGCGAGCCUAGGGAUGGGGGCACACCCGUUGGUUAGGUCUGGGUCCCUAAAAGCAAUCCCUAAGUUCCAGAACUACGUAGACAGCGUAGGUUAUGAGAUGUCACUCGUUAGAUAGGACUGACAUACCCAGGGAUCACCCGCUAGUUUAGGACUGAUCUCAGGGGUCACCCGCUAGUUUAGGACUGAUCUCAGAGGUAGUCCUAGAUCGUUACAUAUAGAGAGUUGUCAAGGAUCACAAAAGAAUGCGUGUAUGAAUUUUUUAGGUCGUCUCAGAAAUUUUUCCCAGUUCAUAAUUAUGCAAAUGUCAUGCCCAACUAGAUAAAAAUUAUUAGCAGAGAUAUAUAUGUCUAUAUAGAAGAUUAAAUCCUUGUUGUCCAUGAUAUUUUGGGAUCCUUAAAAAUCUACCCAGUUUCGUCUUUUAAAAAAAAUGAUCACGUUGACCACAUGCCUUCUUUCACAUAUCAAGGGUAUGGUUUGGGCUUACUUUGAUGAUAUUGCAAGGCAGUUGCUAUAUUUGUACAUAUUGUAUACACUCAAAAAAAAUCGUUAGUCAAAAAGUAAUGUUGAUUAAUACUUUGCUCGAUUUGACUCCUUGUCGUUGUCUUCUAUUCCAUAUAGAGUUGGGACUUGUACUCCGUCAUGGUAAAAUUUUUUAGAGUCCUCAAAAAUUUCUGCCCCAGUUUAGGAUAAAAGACACCUUUUUCACGUCCUUGUGAAUCGAUAUAAUGCUUCCUUGUGAAGUCUUAUAUUCCUUUUUCACUCAAAGAAAACAUUAGUUCAAGAGAAACAGUUGUCUUACAUUUGAACAUUGUGAUCUCAAUUGGAAUCUGCCUUUAUAUGCUCAAAGGUCAGGUCUAAUAAAGGUGUUGGAAUUUGAGAAGAGUUUUUGAGUUGGAUAGAGAGAGGAAAGAAAAUUUUUAUUAGAUUAAGACCUGACCCAAAAGGGAUGCUUACAUAUUCAAAUAAAAGUUAGGUCAAAUGUCUUUCAAAAGUACAACGAAAGGUAGAUAAGAUAGUAAAAAUGUUAUUUAGUCAUAAGAUAAAUAAAUGAAGACUGACAGGAUCUCCCACUUUCAAAAGUGGAGCAUGUUGAAGGAAAUUGUUUAGAUAGUGUUGAGUAACGUAAGAAUAAGGAGAUUCUUGCCAAACAGUGUUUUGCCUUGGGCAAGAGAAAAGAGGGAUAUAAUUUUUUGGAUAUCGAACAUAUUUGUCAUAAUGCAGAUUUUCAACUGAGUCGAUGUUCAAACACUAAACAACCUUCAAAUAAUAAAUAGUGAAUUGAACAAAACAAGUAUCAGCGUACUCAAUGUGAAAAGAGAUAGUGUGCCAAUAUGAGUCAUUUUAUCAAGGAGGACUUUAGGAAUAAUAGGUGGUCUAGAACUUAAGCUUGAGAAACGAAUUGAUCUCAAAGGAUAUAAGAUAGGCUCUAAGGUACUAAGUUUGUACUUGAAGCUGAUGGAGAGAACAACUAAAUAAUGAUAAGUUGUUCAAAAGAUGCACAUAAAAUGUUUACAAAAAUGUUUUGGAUAAAUGGGAGAAGUGAAGAUUGAAAAUUUUUGAAGUAUUUAGCUUGAAACUUUUGACAAUUUGAAAGAUCGUGGAAAGACGUUUGAAUAAUCCAAAAAAAUUUCUAAGUUUCACCCUUAUGACAUUAUAGAAAGGUGAAAGAAAUGUAGAAUAUGAUUUGAUAGAAAUAACUAUUUGAAUGAUAAGGAUUGUUUCACAUUUUCCAAUAUUAAGGUAUUUUGUAAGAGAAAAAAAAAAAAGAGGAAGAUUGCAUCCUUAUAAAGGAUUGCCUACGUAUCUUGUUAGAACAAGAAUCAAGUCAGACAUAGUUCAGAAUUUGAGACUGAUAAAAAAUCGAGAAGCGGGUGGAGAUGAAUUAUAGACGAAAUAAUCAAGGAAUGUUGUUAAAUAUAAAUGUAAGAACAAAUUAGGAAAAAUAACAAAUUUGACAUAUGCAUAUAAGUCUUGAAGACAUGCUAGAUAUAUUCAGGAUGUAUAUUUCUUAGUAUAGAAAUAUACUAUUAAGCUCUAGAGAAUAAGAGUGAUUUUGACAAGGUCCCGUCAAGCGAACAACUUGAGAGUGGGAAAACUUGUGACUGUCGUGCACCUCUGGUCGACCGAUCCGCAAGGCAUUUCCCAAAGGGUGUUUAAGGAAAGAACGUUCGUGCAACAACGCAACCGUUCAUAUAAAGAAAAUAAAGAAGGUUCUAAGUGGAAAAAAUUAUGAGUGGAAUGACAGUUUAUGGAAAGCAGUAACACAUAGCACAUAGCAAAAGUAUAAUAGCAUAUUCAACAAAAUAACACAACAUAUAGUCAAUUAUCAAGGGGAAAAGAGAAAGGAGAUAAACAAGAAGGGAAAAAUACGUAAAGGGACAAGGGAAAAGGUGAACACGUAGAAAAAUAAAUCAUGAUGCUAAAAGCAAACAAUAUUAACCAAACAUCAAAACAAAAUUUAUACGAAUAGAGAGAAUCCCACAUAAAACAUAAAUUUGUAAUGUUAGAACCUAAGUAUCCCCAACAAAGUCUCCAUUCUAUCACGCUUCAUUUUUUCUCGCGAAAAGCAGGAUUUGACGUGACUACUCUUUUAGGAUUUUUUAAAGAGUGAAGAGUCGUCACCUAAUGAAUUAAGGUGUGUUAGGGAACCGUUCUAGGCUAACUAUGAACCUAUUAUGUUAUUUAGUCUUAGUUCACCAGAAAUUCACGUCAAGGUUCAAAUCACCUCGAAGGAAGGUAUUAGGCACUUUUUGAGGUCCACAAAGGUGGUUCCCGGCCAAAUUUAUAUUUUACGUGGGGAUUCUAUGUGAUAAACAAAGGUCGCUUAUUUUAUUAUUAACUUACUAUUACUAAGUGGUAGAAAUAAUAAACAAGACAUGCUAUUUAACUAUUUUUAAAAUACUAAUUAUCUAAGUGAUGACAAAACAAUAUAAGGAGCAAUGUAAAACAGAUAAGCGAGGAGAUAGAAAGGACACAAUUUAUAAUAAAAAUUUAUUAAAUUAAAGAAUCUAAACUACUCCAAAUAAAUAAACAUAUAAAGUAAAAUAAAAAAAUAAAUUCGAAAGGUCAGACCAAGAAAUUAUUUUGGUGUUAUUCGAACCAGUACCGAACUUGUUAGUCAUUAUCCGAUCCAUUAGCCAACGGUCGAAUUCAAGACAAAUGACAGUGUCAUAUGUCGUAUCGACAAUAUAUAUUUGGGUAUCAUUACUUUCAAAUGUCUAAUCGCCCCCGCCUAGGAUGGUUGUCAAACCUAAAAGCGUUCUAAAAGGAAAGGAUAAAACUAACGCCUCUACAAUGCCUAUCAUCUAAGAGGCAUUGGACUUUUCUAUUUUAAGUUUGGGGUCUAGACAAAUAAAACUAGAUUUUCUAGUAGACUCAAAGCACGUAAAACACAUAAGACAUCAAGUAGCAUGUAAUAGUUUCAAAUAUGUCUUUUGCUUAAUUAAUAGUUUGUUAAAGUGAUUAGCAUGCUAAGACAAACAAUUACUCAUUUUGGUGUCAUUAAUCUAUAGGCAUAAUGUCUAAUUGAAAAGUAAUUGCUUAUUGAUGAAAAGUAAUUGUCAAACCAUUUCAAAACAUUGUUAUAAAUUUAUUAAAGACAAAAGAACGUCAAACUAAAGCAAAUAUGUUGGGAAGUGAUACCCGUGAACAUGUUAUAAAUCAAUAGAAGUGUUAGACAUUAAUUUUAGAGCGUCAGGAAACAUAUUCGCUCGCUGAAAAUAAUUAAUAUGUUGAAAAUUACUUCUGAAAAUUUAGAACAUUGCUGUAAGUACAUCUUUAUAUUCUGAAAACUUAAUUCAAUAAAGUUAAUUUUCAAGAUGCUAGAGAUCAGAUUUAUAGGCUGGAAAGUGUAAUUUGGAAUGCUGAAAAUUAUUUUUUCACUGCUGAAAAAGUGAUUUUAUAUUGCUGAAAAUUAAUAAAAGAUGCUGAAAACUGUUUAAUUGCUAAAAUAGACAUGCACAAAACAUUGAAAAAUUCCCAUGACAUCCGAAAGUCGACAAAACAUGUCAAGAUUAAAUUUGGGACCAAAAGUAACUUAAAAGAAAUCCUAGAAGCAUGAUUUCUAAAUGAAUCAAUUAAUAAGUCCUAGAUUAGGUUUGCCUAGGUGACAAACAAAUCAAUUAAAUAAAUUCUAAAUUGGUUUGCCUAAGUGAUUCACGUUACACAUAAACCAUGCCCCCAAGCAGCUCAUAUAAUUUAUUAUUACAUCAAUGAGGUUUAUACAAUAAAAUACAGACCAAUGAAUAAUGAUAACAAAAAAACAAGACUAAACCAAGAAAGGAAUAAGAUGCCCCUCUCCAACUCCCGGACAACUCUUCAAAUCCCACGAAUCGACUAACUUUCUGCCACAAAUCUGUUAGCAUGGCCUAAAUGCACAAAAGAACAAACUAACAAAAUUCAUCCAAAGAUGUUUUUUUAAGGUUUAUAUUAGCCUUAUAAUCAAUUUUUUGCAACCAACGAGCAUAUCACAAUAGUUGAACCAAGCCAACAUAAACAAGAUAAGCGAAGUGACAGAUUAUACAUACCACAUCAAGCACAUUAUUUAUUAAAAAAAAAAAGCCAUAAGCAAAUAAUUUGUGAAGUUCAAUACUUAUUAAGGUAUUAUGGAAAACAUACCUCUUAGGAGUAAAAGCAAAGACACAAAACCAAAGUGGGAGAGCAUGAAAAAGCAGACCAGAGUCUUGAAUAAAAUCAAUAGAAGCUAGUCAAUCCCCAAAGCAGCAAUUGAAUAUAUGUUUUAAGAAUUUUCGAUGUUAAGCCGUAAGCAAGGGGAAUGUAAUCAUGUCAGCCCCAAUAGUAAAAGGGAAAUAUUGCUUAUAUAGUUGGGGAGAGUGGAGAAUUAAAAGGAAGAAAUAUGUAAGAAAAUCAAUCAGAGGUGGUAAGAAAGGAAAAUAAAAUAUGCUAAAAAUCAAUUAUCAAAACCGAAUCAAUUAAAUGAGACGAAAAUAUGCUUAACUUCCAUAGAUAUUUACAGAGUCUGUUAAAACCAAAAAAGCCAAGGAAGAGCCCACACGAUUUUCCUUCUUUGCAAAUUUUCACCAUAAAUAGACAAUAAUGAGACUAUAAAAUUAUUCAAAAAAUUAAGGAAAUUAACCGAUACUGCUCAAUCACACAAAUAUUUGCCAUAAAUAUUCGAUUACCAAAGUUGUCAACCUCCAACGCGUGAUUUGACUUCAAUUUCAAUAAGGGACCGAAUCAAUUAACAACAACUAGUUUGACAACCCGAUUUACCAAAAGAAAGAAUUUCCAGUCAAUCACAUAUGAUAAAAAAUUAAUCAAUAAUCAAGAACGUAGAUUAGAAUCAACGCCCAACAUUAGCAUCAAAAUCAAGCACAUGCAAAUUUGGGCGUUUUCACAUAUAUUGAUAUAGAUGAGAAGAUAAUCAUGUAUUUAAAGGAAUUAAACAAAACAUUCAAAGUUAGACAUAGCCAAUUUUAAAUCUAAGAAUCUGUUAAAAAGGAAAAAGAGUAGAAGAGGGUUUAGGCAAAACUUAAAACUGGAACCAACCUGAGACGGAUUUGUGAAUACGUCAUGCACUUUUAAAUGAUUUUUCGAUGAAUUUCAAUUGGAAUCACGGGCAGCGGCGGAACAAGGUGGCGGAUUGAUGGAGAUCACUGGUGGCCUGGUUUUGCUGGACAUCAGCCGACAGUGGAGUGGCGACGUGGUACUGUUGCUGGUCGUGGCUUGAGAGGAUGAGGCGGCGACGGUAGUUGGGUGUUGCUGGUCCAUCAGUGGCGGCGUUGGACUAGUGGCUGACGGCUGUUGGUGUCGUCACCGGCCAUGGUUGGUAGGCGUUCGCUAGAAAGAGAGAGAGAUGCGGCUUACAGAGAGAGAGAAGAGAGUAUGGCCGAAGAGAGAGAAAGACGUGGCUCUUUUGUUGUUUUUUUUGGAAAAUAGGAUUAGGGUUUGUUUUGUUUAAAAAGGUUUGUUUUGUUUAAAAAGGGAAGAAAGGAUGAUUUGAUCUCAGCCGUCGAUCGCAUGUGAUAAACGGUUGUGAUUAAAAUUAAGAAGAGGAGAUGAAAAUUGAUUAAAAAUUGAAUCAAAUUAAACUCAAAAAUAAGAUAAAAUUGAUAUUAAUCGGAUAUAAAAUGGCUAAAAAUUAAAUAAAU